rnacentral:rRNA from 1 species
CCUACGGGAGGCAGCAGUGAGGAAUAUUGGACAAUGGGCGCAAGCCUGAUCCAGCCAUGCCGCGUGCAGGAUGAAGCAUCUAUGGUGUGUAAACUGCUUUUGUACGAGAAGAAACACUGCUUCGUGAAGCAGCUUGACGGUAUCGUAAGAAUAAGGAUCGGCUAACUCCGUGCCAGCAGCCGCGGUAAUACGGAGGAUCCAAGCGUUAUCCGGAAUCAUUGGGUUUAAAGGGUCCGUAGGCGGCCUUAUAAGUCAGUGGUGAAAUCUCACGGCUCAACUGUGAAAUGGCCAUUGAUACUGUAGGGCUUGAAUUAUUAGGAAGUAACUAGAAUAUGUAGUGUAGCGGUGAAAUGCUUAGAGAUUACAUGGAAUACCAAUUGCGAAGGCAGGUUACUACUAAUGGAUUGACGCUGAUGGACGAAAGCGUGGGUAGCGAACAGGAUUAGAUACCCUGGUAGUCCACGCCGUAAACCGAUGGAUACUAGCUGUUGGGGGUCAACCGUCAGUGGCUAAGCGAAAGUGAUAAGUAUCCCACCUGGGGAGUACGUUCGCAGAAUGAAACUCAAAGGAAUUGACGGGCUUGNGAGNGCGAGGNGACACGAGGGAGGAGG